AAAUAAAACAGAGUGUGCUGAGGCAGGAGUUCCUCCGGCCGGCUGUGGGGCUGGCGAUGUGCGCCCCACCACCAGCAGCACUGCCCACGCCGAGAGGCUCCGUCCGCUGGGAGCACCUUGUGUGCUGGGUCCGUUCUAGCUGCUGGCAUGACAAGGGUGAUGGCUGUAUCAUCAUAUCAUCUGCAAGCCUUGAAAUGCACCUGAGCCUGAGGACUCUCCAGGACACACGGAUGUCUGUUCAGCAGGGCUGUUAGUAGGUGCAUUCAGCUCUAGGAUGCCAGUGGAGGGAUGCAGGGUCAUGGAAGAUGUAUUUGUUACUUUCCUGAAGCACAGCUAUCCAAGCAGAGUAAAGCCUGAUACAACCUGCCUUGUCCCCCUAUGCCGCUUGCAAAGCUGUUUGGUGUGAACAUGUGAUCUUCAAAACAACCUGCAGGCAGGAUGAAGACAGUUGCUCUUCUUAUUGUGCUUCUACCUGGGGAAGUGAAAUGGGUUUUCUGUGCCUGGACCUACAGAGGGGGCCUGCGAACCACUGCAUGGGCCGUGUGGCCAAGCCGCUGGCCAGGGGAGCUGGGGAGAGGCUGGGGAUUUAGCAUCCAGGGCAGGAGGCAGAUUCUCCUUCCCGGUGGCCUUGUCUCGGGCAAAAAGCCCAGCUCCCACAGCCUGCCUGGCCAGCAGCCAUCUGCCCAAGGUGUCCGACCUCCGCAGACGUGCCCGUGACUGGAUGCUUUGAACACACAGCAGAGGGAAGAGACAGCAAAGCAGUGUCUGGUUACCCACCUCAGCCUCCUCCUGCCCUCCUCUCCAUGGCAGGUCGUCUGCCCUCCUGGGCAUCGGGACUCUUCCUGGGAGGAUCUGACAAGCCUAUUAUGGCUCAUUGCAGAUUUGGGUAACGCUUGGGGAAAAUGCUGUCAAUGACUGCAGACUUCUCUCCUUGGAAAUCCUGGAGAGCCUCCCUGGGCUCGCUCACUGCCAAAAUUCAGCACGGCCAAAUUGAGGGAGUAGCUGGGUUUCCAGAGCCACCCCUCCCUCGCAGCACGGGGACAGCUGCACGCAGCCAGCUCAGGGUCGCUCCCUCCGAGGGCGGCUGCCCCGAGCGGCUGCAGCCCGUUCGCGCCAGCAUGGGUUUGCUGGUCAUGGGUGCGAUAUUCAGCAGAGCAGCAAACGCAAGCGAGGUCCUUCCAGCUUCGGAUCAUCGUAGGAUCUGUUGAGCAAUUUGGUAUGCUUAACUCAUAAGAAUAGUGCAGCUCUGGGGCUUGUCUCUUAGGUCCUUGCUAGUGCAAUGCGUGGCUGUUCCAUCAGAACCAACGGUCAGACUGAUGGAGUCAUGCUCCCAGGAGGAGGAAAGGUGCUGAUCCAGACUGUAAAGUUUGCAUUUGCCUCCAUUUGCAUUUUCAGCUGGAGAAGAAGUGCCAGGGUCCCAAGGUGGGCAAAGGGGAUUUAGGCUGAGCAGGGCUUCCAGAUCAGCUUCAAGUUUGUCAUUUUCAGUUUAAAAUCAUGCAAAACCAGGAUGGCACUGGUGAUGCCUGCACUUGCUUCUGGAUGCACACACAUUGCUCCUGGUGAAUAAAGCAUGCCCUGGCGCAGGUAGCAUGGGGCAAAGCUGGCUUGUUUAGGCAAGGAAAAAACCUCGGUUUUCCUGACAGAUGCCUCAGGGGAAGCUGAAGUGGACAUAAACAGUGGAACAGCUUGCGAGUGUGCAGCACUGAGCAGACAGCAUACAUCCCAUGUGCAAGAUCUCAAUUCUCCAUCCUCAGCACCCGACCUGGGAGUACCAGCAGGAGUGGAUGGUGCCAUGGAUGGCUGCAGAGUUGUGUUGGUCACCUUUUGCUGAUGGGAUGUACAGAUGCUGGUCUUUCCUGUGUGGUGGGGAAUUCAUGUUGCACAGCAGUCUGCAGGGUGAUUCAUGGGGAAAAGGAAAACCUAGUCUUAUCUUCAGGGAGAAAACUGCUGAGCUUCAGGUUUCAAAGCCCUUGGUUCAGUGGAAUUACAGGUUCAAAUCCUGAGAGGGUCAAACAAGGUCUUUUUUCCUCUGAGACGAAUGGAGUGUCAUGCAAUAAGUUGCCUAUGAUUCUCUUUGUUAGAUGCUGUGAUACUUUGAAAAUGGCAUUGUGACAAAUCUUGGCUUUCUGCAAAAUAAAUAACUGCAUCAUUUAUCAAAAAA